CCCUUAGAUGUCCUGGGCUGCACGCGCGCUACACUGAUGUGUCCAGUAAGCACCUAACCUCUUCCGAAAGGAACGGGUAACCUUUGCAAAGCACAUCGUGAUGGGGAUAGAUUAUUGCAAUUAUUAGUCUUGAUCGAGGAAUUCCUAGUAAGCACAAGUCAUCAGCUUGUGUUGAUUACGUCCCUGCCCUUUGUACACACCGCCCGUCGCUCCUACCGAUUGAAUGUUCCGGUGAGCUCUUCGGACUGCGCGGUCUGCAGUUUCUGCGUUCCGUGCGGAAAGUUGCGCAAACCUUAACAUUUAGAGGAAGGAGAAGUCGUAACA
rnacentral:rRNA from 1 species